rnacentral:rRNA from 1 species
GAUGAACGCUGGCGGCGUGCCUAACACAUGCAGGUCGAACGGAGAUUCCGGACGGAAGUUUUCGGAUGGAAGCCUGUAAUUCUUAGUGGCGGACGGGUGAGUAACGCGUGGGCAACCUGCCCUAUACAGGGGGAUAGCAGCUGGAAACGGCUGGUAAGACCGCAUAAGUCGGUUAAAUCGCAUGAUUUGAUCGGGAAAUGAGCAAUCAGGUAUAGGAUGGGCCCGCGUCCGAUUAGCCAGUUGGCAGGGUAAAAGCCUACCAAAGCGACGAUCGGUAGCCGGACUGAGAGGUCGGACGGCCACAUUGGGGCUGAGACACGGCCCAAACUCCUACGGGAGGCAGCAGUGGGGGAUAUUGCACAAUGGAGGAAACUCUGAUGCAGCGACGCCGCGUGAGUGAAGAAGUAUUUCGGUAUGUAAAGCUCUAUCAGCAGGGAAGAUGAUGACGGUACCUGACGAAGAAGCCCCGGCUAACUACGUG